rnacentral:lncRNA from 1 species
GCUGGAGCACACUGAAGCUGGAGCACACUGAAGUGGAAGAUGGGGCUGCAGACAGAGACUGGGCAGCCUCUGCUCCAGGGAGGCCCGAGAGCCAGAGAGCAGAUUCCAUAAGAAGAAUAACUCCCAUUCCUCAUGCAUGAGACCCUCUGCUAAAUGCUUCCUGUGCACCACCUCCAGAAAUCCUCCCAAGCCAGGACACCAGCAGUAUUACAGGAACUGGAUGACAAAAAGAAGAGCCGAUAUAACCAGGAACCUACUCUGGCCACCCCAAGUAAGGAUCUAAAGUCCAGCCUCCUCCUCCACUGCCCUCAAGGCCUUUCCUCAUGAAAGCAGAGGUUCUGAAUGCUGAUUUCUGUUUUAAAGCCCAAUAACUCUUUAAACAUCU